GUAGCUUAUUUUCUACUUCUUAGUUGCUUAUAAUGUCCAGGGCAUAACCUAGCCUGGUUGAACCAGCCUGAUCCCUGUGUUCACCAUUCUAUUUCAUUUGAAAUGUUAUAUCUGAAGUGAAAAAGAAAAGGUGAAUGGAGCCAUCAGGAUAUUUCCACCAUGCUAAUCAUAACCACCAUUGAUAAUGUAAUCAGUACUGUGUGUGACCGACCAGUAUCUUUGAGGGGCCAGGAGCUGAUCUACGCUACUAUGUCCAUCAAUGGGGCUCUGGCAAAGACCUCACCUCCAGCCUCACAUCUUGCCUGCUCAUCAACAGUCUUUGAUGGAGAGAACAGAAUUAGGUUUAGGCUGACCUGUUCAAACUUCAACAUAGGUCGCAGUUGCAAAUGAGAACUUGUUCUCAACUAGCCUACCUGGUUAAAUAAAGAAACAUGGAUGGGGCUGCACAUGGAGACUUGCAAGAUGAUGUUAUGAAGUCCAGACUGGCAGACAGGCUUGAUA
rnacentral:lncRNA from 1 species